rnacentral:rRNA from 1 species
CUAGGUUGAUCCUGCCAGUAGUCAUAUGCUUGUCUCGAAGAUUAAGCCAUGCAUGUGUAAGUAUAAACUAAUUUAGAUUAUGAAACUGCUAAUGACUCAUUAAAUUAGUUAUAAUUUGCUUGAUAGUAUCUACUAUUUGGAUAAUUGUAGUAAUUCUAGAGUUAAUACAUGCAACAAACCUCGACUUCUGAAAAGGAUGCAUUUAUUAGAUAAACAGUUUAUGUGGAUUUUGCCCGUUGCUUUGAUGAUUCAUGAUAACUUGAUGGAUCAUGCAAUCUUUGUGCCAAUGACACAUCAUUCAAAUUUUUGUCCUAUCAACUUUUGAUGGUAGGAUAGUAACCCACUAUAAUGGUGACAGAUAACGAAGAAUUAGGGUUCGAUUUCAAAGAGGGAGCCUAAAAAAUAGCUACCACAACCAAGGAAGGUAGCAGGUGCACAAUUACCCAAUCUUGACAUGGAGAGGUUGUGACAAUAAAUAAUAAUACCAAGCUCUAUGAGUCUGGUAAUUGAAAUGAGUACAAUCCAAAUCCUUUAACGAAGAUCCAUUAGAGGGCAAGUUUGGUGCCAACAACUGUAGUAAUUUUAGCUCUAAUAGCAUAUAUUUAAGUUGUUAUAGUUAAAAAGCUCAUAGUUGAAACUAGGGUUGGGUCGUCCGAUCCACUUCAUGAUAAGCAUCGAUCAACUCAUCCUUACUGCCAAUAAUGCACUUUUAGCCUUAACUGAUUAGGUCAUUCUUUAGACGUUAUUACUUUAAAGAAAUUAGAUUGCUCAAAGUAGGCCUACGCUUGUAUAAAUUAGCAUGGGAUAACAUCAUGAGAUUUCAAUCCUAUUGUGUUAGCCUUUGGGAUCAGAGUAAUAAUUAACAGGGAUAAUCAGGGGCAUUUGUAUUUCAUAGUCAGAGGUAAAAUUCUUGGAUUUAUUAAAGAUGAAUGACUAUAAAAGCAUUUGCCAAGAAUAUUUUUAUUAAUCAAGAAUGAAAGUUGAGGGCUCAAAAAUGAUCAGAUACCAUCUUAGUCUCAACCAUAAAUGAUGCCAACCAGGGAUCGAUGGAUGUUACUUUUAGGACUUUGACAGCAUCUUAUAAGAAAUCAAAGUCUUUGGGUUCUAUGGGGAGUAUGGUCAUAAGGCUGAAACUUAAAAGAAUUAAUGGAAGGGCACCACCAUAAGUGGAGCAUAUGGCUUAAUUUGACUCAACUCAGAAAAACUUACUAGGUCUAGACUAGUAAGAAGUGACAGACUGAGAGCAUUUUUCGGUGUGUGGUCAUUCUUAGUUGAUAAAGUGAUUUGUCUAGUUAAUUCCAUUAAUGAACGAGACUUUAACUUGCUAAUUAGCUAUGCCAAGGUGAUCUUUCACUGCUAGCUUCUUAGAGGGACUAUAGCCACUUAAGCUAAAAAAGUUUAAGGCAAUAACAAUCUGUGAUGCCCUUAGAUGUUUUAGUCCACACGUGCACUACAUUAAUGUAUUUAAUAAGUCUAUAGCCUUGGCCAAAAGGCCUAGAUAAUCUUUAAAAUUUUAAAAUGAUAGAGAUAAAUCAUUGCAAUUAUUGGUCUUCAACGCGAAAUUUCUAGUAAACGUGAGUCAUCAACUCACAUUGACUACAUCUUACCCUUUGUACACAUCUUUUAUCGCUCUUACCGAUUGAAUGGUCUAGUGAAAUGUUCAAAUCACGAUAAUGCGGAUAGUUUACUGCCCAUGACGUCAUGAAAAAUCUACUGAACCUUAUAAUUUAGAGAAAAGAGAUGUCAUAACAAGGUUUUUAUAGGUGAACCUGUGAAAA